GUUCUCAACAUCUUCCAGUUAAUUACAAGCAAAGUAACGCUCUGAAUAAGGCGCUGCCCUCUGCGUAUUUCCUUCCCCACCGUGGGACUCUAACUAAGUCAAUUUUCCCGCCCUGAAAGCGGCAAGUACCUAUUGUACUACUCACCAAGAAAAUCUACGGGAAUAGUUCUCAACAUCUUCCAGUUAAUUACAAGCAAAGUAACGCUCUGAAUAAGGCGCUGCCCUCUGCGUAUUUCCUUCCCCACCGUGGGACUCUAACUAAGUCAAUUUUCCCGCCCUGAAAGCGGCAAGUACCUAUUGUACUACUCACCAAGAAAAU